GGCGACGAUCUGUAGCUGGUCUGAGAGGAUGAUCAGCCACACUGGGACUGAGACACGGCCCAGACUCCUACGGGAGGCAGCAGUGGGGAAUAUUGGACAAUGGGCGAAAGCCUGAUCCAGCCAUGCCGCGUGUGUGAAGAAGGCCUUUUGGUUGUAAAGCACUUUAAGUGGGGAGGAAAAGCUUAUGGUUAAUACCCAUAAGCCCUGACGUUACCCACAGAAUAAGCACCGGCUAACUCUGUGCCAGCAGCCGCGGUAAUACAGAGGGUGCAAGCGUUAAUCGGAAUUACUGGGCGUAAAGCGCGCGUAGGUGGUUAUUUAAGUCAGAUGUGAAAGCCCCGGGCUUAACCUGGGAACUGCAUCUGAUACUGGAUAACUAGAGUAGGUGAGAGGGGAGUAGAAUUCCAGGUGUAGCGGUGAAAUGCGUAGAGAUCUGGAGGAAUACCGAUGGCGAAGGCAGCUCCCUGGCAUCAUACUGACACUGAGGUGCGAAAGCGUGGGUAGCAAACAGGAUUAGAUACCCUGGUAGUCCACGCCGUAAACGAUGUCUACCA
rnacentral:rRNA from 1 species